CAAAAACUAAUACAAUAUUUGUCAUUAAAAAAAAAUUAAUAAUUAAAAUGUUUCUAUUGAUAUUGUUUAAUAUAAAAUGUCUUUCUCUUAGGAUUUGUAACAUGCCUCAUGAAAAAACUUCCAGAAUAUAAGGGUUCAUCUUUUACUUUUGGUUUUUUUUUCUUGAGCCAGAAUUAUCUGGCUGUUUGUUUUACUUUAUCAGUUUUGUUUUACCUCAUAAGUCCUGCAAAACCACAGAUGAACUAUAAAAUAUUUGUAUAUAUAUAUAUAAGUGCAUGUUUGUAUGUGUACAUAUAUACAUAUAUAUUUAUACACACACUCAUGCAAAACAGUUCCUUGUUUUAAUUAUAUAUGCAUUUUUUUUAUUAAAAAAAAAAAAAAAGAGAAAUUCCAGCAAUCCAGUGCCAUUAAAAACAGAACCAAAGAAAGACUUUAUCUUUCAUCAGUAUGCCUCCAGGGCAAUUGUUUGUGUAACGAAAUGGGAGAGACUAUAAGAUAAAAAUGAAGGGUUUAUAAUAUAAGGAAAGAGAAGGUGUAUGAGAAGAAAUGAAAGACGUUAGAAAAGAAAAAGAAAAAAUGGAAGAAAAUGAAUGGAUGGGGGUGAGGGGGAGAGAAAACAGGCAAACAAGAGGAAAAAAUGUUUGAAGAUAGAAAAAUGUCAAACGUUAGAAUCUGAAACAAGAGUCAUUGGUAAGAGUUUUGUGGUAGCAGCAGAUAAGAAAUGGAAGUUCUGAAACAGGGAGAAAUCUAAAUGCUAUUUGGCAGUCAUUAUUGGAACGAUAAUGUCACAUGGGAGAAUGGUAAGGAGACAGAUGGACACCAAAGUGGUUAAUGAAGAGAAAAACCAAACAAACAACAGCAACAAAAAAAAAAAAAAUACUAGUUCCAUGAUGGUACUUCCCAACUCUUUGUUAAUUUUAAAGAUUUUCUCAAAAAAUGUAUGAAAUGAUGGGGAGUAAAUAAUGUGAUUACAGAUACACACGUGUGUGUGUGUGUGUGUUUGUGUGAGAGAGUAAAGGUGUUAGUCUAAGUCAUCUUGAUAUGGACUUUAUUUUGUACAAAACUCUUCUUCGUACACUCGCAUACAGUUAAUUCACAUCUAAAGUGUCCGGUUAUUCACAAAUUUAGGCACACAGCACAUUCCCCCAUCCAUCCAUCCACAUACACACACACAUACAUAUAAUUUAAUGUACACAGUAUACAGUUACGAGCUACCAACAGUUUCAUGCAUUGGAGAUGUUUCAUGCAUUGUCCAGGCAAGCUUUAAUAACACACCUUGCAUCUCCAAGCAACCUUCAGGCUCUCACUGAAUGGAAUACUUUUCUUUUGUUGAUCUGGCCUUAAGGGAAAAGUAAACUAUAAAUCAGUUACGUCAUAAGAAUUUAGAAACUUCAAGAGAAAUCUAUUGUGUUUUAUAGUGGAACUCAAAGUAGAAAAGCUAUAAAUAGUACUGUGUAGAAUAUUGUGUUGGAAACCCUAAGGAUAAAUAAUUUUACAGAAGAUGUAGGUUCAUGUCCCACAAAAAGCCUUUGACUUUUUUCAUCCAAGGGUGUUUUUAUCAUAAUAUUUACAUGUUUUAUCUACCUCUAGUAAUAUUUCAUAUAUAUAUAUAUAUAUAUAUUUCAUUUGUGGGUUAACAAGGCAACCAAUGGUUUCAUGCAAACAGAGCUUCACAAUUGUUCAAGUGUGCCACAUGGAAAUGAGUACUAACACUUCCAUGUGACAUACUUCAACAAUUGUGAAGAUCUCUUCACAUGAAACAAUUGGUUGCUUGUUAAACUAAAAAUAAAGAAUAUUUAUCCACUAAUGCUGUGUUGAGCACUCAUUCUCAAUGUUUGAUAUCAGCAGUGUGUGUGUGUGUGUAUCACAUUGCAUUUAUAUGUCUUUGGAUUUAGCUCAAAUGAGGCUACAACAAACAACCUAAGCUUACUGCCUAAACUAUCAACUUGAAAUUAUAAGAAAAUCAACACAAACACCUACCUGCAUAUUUACAAUGAAUACAUACACAUAGCUAUACGUAGAGGUAUCAUUAGUAAAUUAAUUAAUAAGAAAUCUAAAUAGGAAAAUGAAUCAGAGUGACUUGUUUUAUAUAAUUCCUGUGAUAUUAUACAGGUUCCUGAGUUUUGUACAAAUUACAGUCAACUAUUCACAGCAUAAGAAGAUAAUCCUGACUGAAUUUCUUAAUCCUUUCUGGUAUGAAUCCAAGGCCUGCUUGGGGACUAUACCACAAGAGAUUUAUUUUAUAUUUCAGCACACCAAAUAUCUAAAAUUAAAAUAAAAUAUUAACAACCCCACAAAAAACCACAGGUAUUUUUCAAGUCAAUUACAGAUUCAUUUAAAUUGUUUUAUAAGGGAAACUUAUGAAAUUAAAAUUGCGUUCUCUUUCUAUGCUUAGACAGUAAUGAUUUUCUCUUGUUAUGAAGAAACCUUGUUAUAGUUUACACACACAUUAUACACUAUAUUUUGGUGGGAAAGAAACAAGAGGCAAAAAAGAAAACCAGGUAAUCUGAAGAAAAUAACAUGAUAUUGAACAAUCAGCAAUGAAGACAAACCAAAUAGGUAUAAACUACCUUAAAAUAUAAACAUUUUUUCAUAUAUAUAUAUAUAUAUAUAUACACAUACACACACACACACAAACAUUUAUACAUACAUGUUUAUAUGUAAUAUUUUUCUUCUUCAUUUCUAAAAGAAAAGUUCAACAAUCAUUACAUAAAUUAAAAAAAAAAAAGUCCAAAUAUUCCACCAGCACACUUAAAUAUCUAUCUGCUUCUUUUAAGAAAUCACACACAGAAUAUACCACUAGACAAAUGUGUAGAUGUGAUGAAUUUUGUUGCACAGAGUCAGGGAAGAGGAUAAAAGCAAAGCUGAGAGCUUUUCUCUUUACUGGAAGGCACUUGGGAAGUAUUACAAUGCUAUAGAAAGCCUAGCUUCUUGGAUUCAUUUUGGAAAUUUAUAUAUACAUGAGAAAAAUAGAAAUGGUGAUCAGUUUUGUCAAAGAACAAAAUUAGUUGUAUUAUUAUAAUUAUGUUUUUUUUCAACCAUAUAGGAAUAUGAAUGAGUACGCAUGCACACAAAUCAGUGUGUGUGUAUGCAUGCAUGCGUGUGUGUACAUAUAUAUAUAUAUAUAUAUAGGAGAGGGACACACUGACACACAAAUAUGUAGACUAUAUUUAUAUAUAUAUAUAUAUAUACAUACACACAUAUAUACAUACAAACACAGAAACACACAAACGUAUAUUAUAGAAAGAUGUAUGUGUGUAGAAAGGUUUUUAUCAGAAAUAAUCAUUAGGAAGAACAAUGUAUAUACAUAUACACUCAAUACAAACAGUAUAUAAUAUAUAUGACUACUAUAGAGCCAUGAACCAGUGAAAUCUUGUUAUCUCUAUAAUAAAUCUACACUAACACAGGAUACUUUAUCCACAAAGUUACACACACAAACACACAGCACUCACAUAUUCGAAGAAAGGAAGACAACUUGUGGUGAAUCAGUCAUUGAAAGCUACAGGCAGACAGUAUGGAAAAUAUACUAUUUACAUAUUUGUUACAAACAUUAAUGUGUACGUCAUUACACAGGUUUACAUCUAUAUAUUUAUUUAUCAUUGGUGUACCGUAAAUCCUCGAGUAUAGUCCGCUCUUGAGUAUAAUACACAGGGGAUUUUUAGGGGCCUGUGCCUCUGAAAAACCUAAACCUUGUGUAUUAUACACACCCCUUCACUAACUUGAGUCAAGGAGGUAUAUAUAAACGUCCUUAAUUUGUAAAAAUGUAUAAGGUAAUGUCCUUUAUUAUAAUUGUAUAUAUAACAUAAUGCAAACGUGUAGUUUUUUUGGGCAUUUUGUUUGCAGAAAAUAAAGAAAUAACAGUAAUAAUGUUUAAUAAAUGUUGCUUAUUGCAAGUUAUGGGUGAUUCUUUUAUGACUUCAUUGCUUUCUGGCUUAGCUUAAGGUAUUUUCGUGUCCGACAUCACAAAAUGCGUCUGAAUAAACAUUGUCGGACAGCAUACUGAGACUCGAACAUUGCUUAGAAAAUAAUUUUCAUUCUUAACCUCGUGUAUAAUAUGCACUAGGGAUUUUGACUUUUAAAUUUUGGGGAAAAAAGGCGGAUUAUACUCAAGGAUUUACGGUAAAUUAUUUACAUACUCAGUUUUUGUUUAAUGGAACAGCUUGGUAUUAUUUAAAAAAAAUGUCCUGGAUUCAGAGAUAAAAGGAAAAUGAAGCAGCUCUGCAGCAAAGACAUAUUGAACUCACUUCCUCUUCGACUGGGGGUACAAUAAAUUUGCUAGGGUGUGAGUCUCUCUAUCUCACACACACACAUACAUAUAUAUGUAUGUAUGCAUGUAUAUUUAUUCAACUUUUGCAGGACAAGAGGUGACAAUGACUUGAAAGCUUCAUCUGCUAGCCUUUUUUUGGACUGUCCAGCAAAGGUUAGCAGGUCGAAUACUUCGAAGUCACAAUCACCCUCUUCUUGUAAAAGUUUAAUGAAAACGUACUCUACAAUAUAGUAUUGAGUAAAUUUUCAGUUUAAUAUUAAACUGUCUCUCUCUCUCUCUAUAUAUAUAUAUAAGAACUGAAUACAAUUGCAAUGAUUUUUUUGAUUAACUGUAAUAAUUACUAUUUAUUAACUACUGGCAGAACUAUCCAGAUAUCAGUCCAUGGACUAAAAUAUAAAUAAUGCUGUGUCUUAUCAUGAACAAGAACACUGGACUUCAGUUCCCUCUCUUCAUCAUUAAGUAGUAAUCUUAGAGAUAUAGUUUUUCUACACUCAACACAAGCACAUUUUAUGGGCAAUAAGGAUUGUGUUAGCUUGGAAUGCUGACUUCAAAAGAUCGGAGGUAAAAGAUUCUGUGAAAAACUAGGUUUAUCAACAGGUUUCACAAAGUCCAUUAAAAAAAAACUAGUGUUUAAUGCCUUGAAAUUCUGGAUAAGACCCACCACAGCAUAUCUUGCUUAUUGCUAGCAAGUCUGUCAGAAGUAUGUGACCUACACAAUGAUCUGGGGGUGAAAUGUAAUCACUUAAAAUUAAACUCGAUCAACAAACCUACUAGCUAACAUCUCACCAUCACCUCAUCAUCUUAAUCUCUAAGAUGACUGAAUCACGACAUAAAUGAAUGAUUUAGGUUUAAAGGUAGAGUUCCUGAUGUGAUUGCUUUCAAAAAUACUAAAACUGAUGCUGAGAGAAACUGGGACAAAGAUUUUUAGGGAGAAAUUAGAGUAGAGAAUUAUAUUAAACCAACCAAAACUGUGGUCAGACAACACAAAUUCAGAAGUUAUUAAUACAUUAUUAAUAAAUACUAGUUGUUUUAGUGAAAUAACGAAGGGUAAUAUCAUUAUCACCAUCAUUGAACAUCUGUUGGUCUGGGUUGAGGGGUUGACAGGAGCUGGCAAGCGAGAGGACUGUACCAAGCUCCAGUGUAUGUUUUAGCAAGAUUUCUAUGGCUGGGAUGCUCUUCCUGUCACCAACCACUUUACAGAGUGUACUGUGCUUUUUGCAUGGCACCAGCACUAGUGAGGUGACCAAGUAACUUGCAAGACAAGACCCCCUUCAACUGAGGGGCUGGUGGUGAUAUCGAGAGAGGUGGUUCUAUGCCAGGUGCUGAGAAGCUAAAGUAUGACAGAAGGACAGAAAGAGGUUUUCUUGCUGUAGAGAGAUACAUGGUUAUCCCAAUUGGAAAAGAAUCAAUGGUGGUGAAGAUGUUUCAGGGAUCAGUCUCAAAUUACAGAAAGGGGACAAGUAGAAAUAUAAUGUAACUUAUGUAACUGUUGUGAUAUACAAGGAUAACAUUGUUGGUGAGAGUAAACAAAUUAUUUACUACUGUAACUAAGUAAAUUAUGACUCUUUUUUUUUUACUAAAGCCUUAUUCAUCUAUAGAUAGCGACCUAAGGUUGGAAUAUAUGACACACGCUGAAAUGCUUCAUAAAUUUAUGUUUAAAACUAUUAUAUAAAUAAGGGCAGCGGUGGCUGUAUGAGUAAGAAGCUUGCCUCUCAACCAUGUAGUCUCAGGUUCAGUUCCACUAUACAGUACCUUGGGCAAGUAUUUUCUACUAUUGCCAGAGGCUGACCAGAGCCUUGCGAGUAGAUUUGAGAGAAGGAUACUGGAAGAAGUCCACUGUGCAUGCACAUGCACAUGUGUGUGUGUGUAGCCUUGUCUUGACAUCACAUGAUGGCUGUGAAUCAGCAUUAUCGUCACACAGACAAUGCUGUUUGUUUCCAGUCUUCUGUGAACCACAUGUCUGGUCACAGGGUAAUAUUACCUCACUAGGAAACAAGUGAAGGUUGGUGACAGGAAGGGCAUCCAGCUGGAGAAAAUCUGCCUCAGUAGUAAAUUCUGUCUGACCCAUGCAAAUAUGGAAACGGGGACAUCAAAUGAUGAUGAUGAUGAUGAGGAGGAGGAGGAGGAGGAGAGAUAAGACGAUAGGAGGAAAAUGGCAACAGAACUUGUGUCCAAUACAGAAUUUUCAUAUAUCACUGGCGACCAAGAACUGAUAUUCACCAAACUUAAAAAUAUAGACAUUAUAACAUUAUGAACAAUACAUGAAGAUAUACAGUGCAGCAAAUAUGGAAGACAACUGUUGAAUGAACUUUAAGAAAAGACAAUGAUUAAAAAAAAAAGGUGUGUGUGUGGGGGGUAUUAGGGGUACGUAUGAAAUGAAUCAGGAAUCAAGGGGUUUACUUGUAAGUUGCUCUUACAAGUUUGUGUGUUUGUUAUUCUGAAUCAAGCCUGCUCUGUAUACUAUGACCAGUAUUUGAAAGGAAAAUAAAAAAAACAUAUUUGAACUACAUGAAUACGAGAGAUCCAAGCAGAUCAUCAGACAACUGGUUUCAUAGGCACUAACAGACAUCUAUGAAUGUGUUCGUUGCUUUCUUUUUGAUAUCUUUUUUGUUUUUAAAAUGAAAGGGUAACCGAGGAUUUUGUUUUGUUAAUCUUUUUUUCUUUACUUACUGGGGAAUAAUAAUAAUAAUAAUAAUAAUAAUAAUAAUAAUAAAAAUAAAAAUAAUAAUGAUGAUGAUGAUAAUAACAUAAGGGAGCAAAGGAGAAGAAUUAAGACUCGAAUGCCUCAAAUUUUAUUUAAAAAAAAAAGCUAGAAAUGAAUGACUUGUUUGCCAGUGAUGAGGGAGUGAAACUGUGUGCAUGUAUGUAUGUAUGUAUGUGUGUGUGUAUAUAUAUAUAUAUAAUAUAUAUAUAUAUAUAUAUGUAGAGCAGUAGAUGUCAGUCAUAGUCGGAUGAAAACAUUUACCUUUAGAAAUAUUUAUUUUACAAAUGAUAUACAGCAAACCUAUUCAGACUAUUGUAUUAAGAAAUGAAUGUAUGAAAAUAAUUCUCUUUCGAUGAAAUCAUGGUGUAAAUCUUUGUGUAGAAAUUACCAUAGAAAUAUUUGUAAAUUAUCAUCAUAAAAUGCAUCUUUGCAAUGUAUUGAGUACGCCUGAUUGUUGAAGAAAA
rnacentral:lncRNA from 1 species